rnacentral:rRNA from 1 species
CGUGCAGGUGGUUUGGUAAGUUGGAUGUGAAAUCUCCCGGCUCAACUGGGUGAGGUCGUUCAAAACUGCUGAACUAGAGGACGGUAGAGGAAAGUGGAAUUCCCGGUGUAGUGGUGAAAUGCGUAGAUAUCGGGAGGAACACCAGUGGCGAAAGCGACUUUCUGGCCCGUUCCUGACACUAAGACGCGAAAGCUAGGGUAGCAAACG